rnacentral:rRNA from 1 species
UACGUAGGCAGCGAGCGUUGUUCGGAAUCACUGGGCGUAAAGAGUGUGUAGGCGGUGCUCUAAGUUAGGUGUGAAAUCUCCCGGCUUAACUGGGAGGGUGCGCCGGAAACUGGAGUGCUCGAGCGUGGGAGAGGAAAGCGGAAUUCCUGGUGUAGCGGUGAAAUGCGUAGAUAUCGGGAGGAACACCAGUGGCGAAGGCGGUUCUCUGGGCCUUACCUGACGCUGAGGAGCGAAAGCGUGGGGAGCGAACAGG